CCGAAAGGUUUGUUCACUCCUUAGUGGAGAAAUGUAUGCCGGAAGUGAUACUUUUGUUUCCUGCCGAGUGUUAACGUAAUUACUACCGCGUGACUUGGUAGGAAUGAACGUGAAUGCCACAGUGAAGAAUGCAACGGGGUCCCCAAUUUUUUUCCUGUAAAGGCCAAAUAACUUUUCCCUUCUCUGACGGGGGCCGGGGUUAGUUUGU